rnacentral:rRNA from 1 species
GGAGGGGGCAAGCGUUGUUCGGAAUUACUGGGCGUAAAGCGCGCGCAGGCGGUUGGGUAAGUCAGAUGUGAAAGCCCCCAGCUCAACUGGGGAACUGCGUCUGAUACUGCUCGGCUUGAGUCCGAUAGGGGAUGGCAGAAUUCCCGGUGUAGCGGUGGAAUGCGUAGAUAUCGGGAGGAAUACCGAUGGCGAAGGCGGCCAUCUGGGUCGGUACUGACGCUGAGGCGCGAAAGCUAGGGGAGCAAACAGGAUUAGAUACCCUGGUAGUCCUAGCUGUAAACGAUGACCACUUGGUGUUGCGGGUUUCUACCCCCGCAGUGCCGGAGCUAACGCGUUAAGUGGUCCGCCUGGGGAGUACGGUCGCAAGGCUG